GAUACUUUAAAAUCUUCAAGCUCACAAGGUUCUAGGAGUAUUCAUAGACAUGAGUCUCUUGGUGAUAUACCAGCAUCUUUCUGAGGAAGGAGGCAUAGCAGAAGAGAAGGAGCUGGAUGGAUCCCACUGCUGCUGGCUCCCUGGCAGGCAUCUGUAAUGAACAUGGAAGAAAGACUUUCUGAGACAUGGAAAAACCAUCCUUCAAAGCCUGGAUAAGCACCAGUGGUAACUGCUUCUUGAGACACACAAGUCUUCAGUUUUGUUUUAUUAGAUGACGUUGCUUCCACUAAAAGGUUGAUUCACUUCAGUGAUUGACAGGAAGGUGAACAAGAGAUCUGAAAGCUUCAAGACAGAAAUCCCUUUACUAAAUCAG